rnacentral:piRNA from 1 species
UGGUGCUCCGUGGUUGUGAUUCUUACUGUC